rnacentral:tRNA from 1 species
CACUAUGAAGCUAAAUAGCAUUAACCUUUUAAGUUAAAGACUGAGAAAUUAAUUCUCCAUAGUGA